CAGUAGCCGCGGUAAUACGGAGGGUGCAAGCGUUAAUCGGAAUUACUGGGCGUAAAGCGCACGCAGGCGGUCUGACAAGUCAGAUGUGAAAUCCCCGGGCUUAACCUGGGAACUGCAUUUGAAACUGUCAGGCUGGAGUCUUGUAGAGGGGGGUGGAAUUCCAGGUGUAGCGGUGAAAUGCGUAGAGAUCUGGAGGAAUACCGGUGGCGAAGGCGGCCCCCUGGACAAAGACUGACGCUCAGGUGCGAAAGCGUGGGGAGCAAACAGGAUUAGAUACCCCCGUAGUCCCUGUGUCUUAUAA
rnacentral:rRNA from 1 species